GAUGAACGCUGGCGGCGUGCCUAAUACAUGCAAGUCGAGCGAACAGACGAGGAGCUUGCUCCUCUGACGUUAGCGGCGGACGGGUGAGUAACACGUGGAUAACCUACCUAUAAGACUGGGAUAACUUCGGGAAACCGGAGCUAAUACCGGAUAAUAUAUUGAACCGCAUGGUUCAAUAGUUAAAGACGGUUUUGCUGUCACUUAUAGAUGGAUCCGCGCCGCAUUAGCUAGUUGGUAAGGUAACGGCUUACCAAGGCAACGAUGCGUAGCCGACCUGAGAGGGUGAUCGGCCACACUGGAACUGAGACACGGUCCAGACUCCUACGGGAGGCAGCAGUAGGGAAUAUUCCGCAAAGGGCGAAAGCCUGACGGAGCAACGCCGCGUGAGUGAUGAAGGUCUUCGGAUCGUAAAACUCUGUUAUUAGGGAAGAACAAAUGUGUAAGUAACUAUGCACGUCUUGACGGUACCUAAUCAGAAAGCCACGGCUAACUACGUG
rnacentral:rRNA from 1 species